GACGAACGCUGGCGGCGUGCUUAACACAUGCAAGUCAGGGGGCGGGGCAACCCGUCACCGGCGAACGGGUGCGUAACACGUGAGCGACCUGCCUUCGAGUGGGGGAUAGCCGGCCCAACGGCCGGGUAAUACCGCAUACGUCUCUUUGGGGGCAUCCCCGGGGAGAGAAACCACUUGGGCUCGGAGAGGGGCGCGCGGCCUAUCAGCUAGUUGGCGAGGUAACGGCUCACCAAGGCGAUGACGGGUAGCUGGUCUGAGAGGAUGGCCAGCCACAUUGGGACUGAGAGACGGCCCAGACUCCUACGGGAGGCAGCAGUGGGGAAUCUUGCGCAAUGGCCGAAAGGCUGACGCAGCGACGCCGCGUGGGGGAUGAAGGCCUUCGGGUUGUAAACCCCUGUUGCCCGGGACGAACAGCUGGUUUCGGCCAGCCUGACGGUACCGGGUGAGGAAGCACCGGCAAACUCUGUGCCAGCCGCCGCGGUAAAAC
rnacentral:rRNA from 1 species